rnacentral:rRNA from 1 species
GAGCGCGACCUUGGAGGCGGGGAUCACCCGGUCCCAUUCCGAACCCGGAAGUUAAGACCGCCAUCGCCGAAAGUACUGCAGCG